AUGCUGGGCAAUUGUGUUGCCCCAAGGGUGGAGCAGAGUACUAACAAUCAGUCGUAUGGUGGGCCCUACAAUGGUGUUCACAGCCCAGCGGACCCUUCUAUUGGUCGGACACUCCAACCUGGACCUAACAACGUGUCGUCUGGUGGAUCUUAUGGUACAAUGCCAGCACAGAACACAAUGAAUGGUGGCAAUAUGGCUCAGCCAAACUCUCAGCGGCCUUACAAUGGUGUUCACAGCCCAGUGGGCCCUUCUAUUGGUCGGACAGUCCAACCUGGACCUAACAAUGUGUCGCCUGGUGGACCUUAUGGUGCAAUGUCAGCGCAGAACACAAUGAAUGGCAAUAUGGUGCAGCCAAACUCCCAGCGGCCUUUACUGAACUCUCAUCAGAACCAAAGGUUUGCAAUUCCUGGCACAGGUGGGGGCAUAAGCCCCCCUGGCAAUGUUUAUGGGCGCCCUGCUCAGCCUUCGUAUCAGCAGCCACCUCCAGCGUAUACAAAUAAUGGCCCAGCUGCUAAGAACGGGGCUGCCCUUCGCACCGUUCCGAUUUCUGCACUGAACCCUUACCAACGUACAUGGACAAUAAAGGCUAGGGUGUCUGCCAAGAGUCAGGUCAAGCACUACAACAAUGCAAGAGGUCCAGGCAAACUCUUCAACUUUGAUCUCCGUGAUGCACAUGGUGGAGAAAUUCGUGCAGUAUGCUUUAAUACACAGUUGGAUCAGUUCUAUGACCUGAUUGAGGUUGAUAAAGUGUACUUGAUAUCUAGAGGGUCACUGAAGCCCGCAAAUAAACAGUUUAACCAUUUGAACAAUGACUACGAAGUCUCUCUGGAUGCUGCAACAACUAUAGAAGUUUGUUCUGAUGAUGAUAGCAGCAUCCCUAGGCAGCAGUUUGAUUUCCGACAGAUCAGCGAAAUAGCUAACAUGGAUAAAGACACCAUGGUGGAUUUGCUUGGGGUUGUUACGUCAGUUAGCCCUUCUUCUCCAUUUACACGGAAGGAUGGUGUGGAAACCCAGAAAAGAGUCCUUCAACUGAGGGACAUGUCUGGUUGCAGUGUGGAAAUAACCUUUUGGGGUGGCUUCUGUAAUGCUGAAGGACAGCAGCUGCAGUCGCUGUGUGAUUCUGGUUCAAAUCCUGUGCUUGCCCUGAGAUCUGUCCGUGUUGGUGAAUUCAAGGGCAGAAAUGUAAGCACAAUUGGCUCAAGCUUCUUAAAAAUAAAUCCAGACUUCCCUGCUGCCGAAAGUCUGAGGCAGUGGUACAUAACUGAAGGGAAAAACGCUGCUUGCACUUCUUUAUCUAUGGGAGGGUCAGGCAUGGGCCGGACUGAUGACCGAAAAACUGUUGAGCAGAUCAAGGCUGAAAACUUGGGGAGAUCAGAGAAGCCUGAUUGGAUCACUGUCAAGGGUGCAAUUUCACACAUCAGCACUGACAACUUCUGUUACCCAGCUUGCACCACGGAGGUUAAUGGUACACGCUGCAACAAAAAGGUGACGAAUAAUGGCGAUGGUAUGUGGCAAUGUGACAAAUGUGAGCAGAGCACUCCAAAUUGCGAGUAUAGGUACAUGCUCCAGUGUCAAAUCCAGGAUUAUACCGGGACCAGCUAUGCAACUGCAUUCCAUGACGCUGGCAAGGAUAUAAUUGGCCUCCCAGCACAAGAUCUGUACAGUAUAAAGCAUGAAGACCAAGAUGAUGAGAAAUUCGCAGACAUCAUACAGAAGGUCCGUUUUGAGCUAUUCCUUUUCAAGCUGAAAGUCAAGGAAGAAGUGUUUAAUGAUGAACCUCGGGUGAAAUGCUACAUUGUUAAUGCUCAGAAAUUGGAGGACACGUCGAAAGAGUCUCGCUUUCUACUGGGACCAAUUGAUAGCCUUUUGGUGGACGAUGGCUUAGGUCCAACCCCUGGGGUGAGUGGUGCUGCUGCUGUCAACACUGGUUUCACCUCCAACACUGGUACCUACAGCACGAAUAUGAGUGGCCCAAAUCAGUUUGGGCAGCGAACGAGCUCAUCUAGCAUGGUGCCUGCCACACCAUCAGCGACACGAUAUUCACAGAACUGCAGUGUUUGUGGGUCCACUGGGCAUAGUGUGCAGAACUGCCCUGCAGUGGCCAUGGAUAUGCAGCAACCAGCAGCAAGCGGCUACGCGGCUAGUUCCUAUGGCUCUUCACCUGGUGAUGCCGGCUCGGGUCUGUGCUUCAAAUGCAACCAGCCCGGGCACUUCUCCAGAGACUGUCCACAGCAGGAGGCUACCUCCUACAGGUCUCCAGCCGCCAACGCCAAUGCCAACUCGGGUCUGUGCUACAAAUGCAAUCAGCCUGGGCACUUCUCCAGAGACUGCCCAGGGCAGGCGGCUAACUCCUAUGACGCCUCAGCUGGUGGCAACGCCGGCGCAGGUGGCCUGUGCUUCAAAUGCAAUCAGCCUGGGCACUUCUCCAGAGACUGCCCAGGGCAGGCGGCUAACUCCUACGGUGCCUCAGCUGGAGGCAACGCCGGCGCAACUGGCCUGUGCUACAAGUGUAACCAGCCUGGGCACUUUGCCAGAGACUGUCAGGGGCAGGCUGCUGCCCCCCAGCGCCAGGCUUACGGGAACGGUGCCGCAUCAGGAGGGUACAACCGGCAGUCCUAUGUCGGUAGCUUCUGA
rnacentral:rRNA from 1 species